UACGUAGGGGGCAAGCGUUGUCCGGAAUCAUUGGGCGUAAAGCGCUCGUAGGCGGCCAGUUAAGUCCGGUGUGAAAGUCACAGGCUCAACCUGUGAAUGCCGCUGGAAACUGUCUGGCUUGAGUCCGGAAGGGGCGAGUGGAAUUCCUGGUGUAGCGGUGAAAUGCGCAGAUAUCAGGAGGAACACCAAUGGCGAAGGCAGCUCGCUGGAACGGUACUGACGCUGAGGCGCGAAAGCGUGGGGAGCGAACAGG
rnacentral:rRNA from 1 species